rnacentral:rRNA from 1 species
UACGGAGGGAGCUAGCGUUGUUCGGAUAUACUGGGCGUAAAGCGCACGUAGGCGGCGCGGUAAGUCAGGGGUGAAAUCCCGGAGCUCAACCUCGGAACUGCCUUUGAUACUGGGGAUCUCGAGUCCGGGAGAGGUGAGUGGAACUGCGAGUGUAGAGGUGAAAUUCGUAGAUAUUCGCAAGAACACCAGUGGCGAAGGCGGCUCACUGGCCCGGAACUGACGCUGAGGUGCGAAAGCGUGGGGAGCAAACAGG